rnacentral:lncRNA from 1 species
UUUUGGGACCAUUUCCCCCCAUUUAGGGCCAUUUUGGUCCCAUUUCCCCCCAUUUAGAGCCAUUUGGGGCCCAUUUCUCCCCAUUUAGGGUCAUUCGGGGUCCAUUUCCCCCCAUUUAGGGCCAUUUGGGGUCCAUUUCCCCCAUUUAUGGCCAUUUUGGGCCCAUUUCCCCCCAUUUUGGGGUCAAUUCCUCCCAUUUGGGUGCAUUUCCCCCCAUUUAGGGCCAUUUGGGUCCAUUUCCCCCCAUUUAGGGUCAUUUGGGGUCCAUUUCCCCCCAUUUAGGGCCAUUUUGGGCCCAUUUCUCCCCAUUUUGGGGUCAAUUCCCCCCAAUUUGGGUCCAUUCCCACCAUUUUGGGUCCAUUUGGGGUCCAUUUCCCCCCAUUUAGGGCCAUUUUGGGCCCAUUUCCCCCAUUUAGGGCCAUUUUGGGCCCAUUUCUCCCCAUUUUGGGGUCAAUUCCCCCCAUUUUGGGUCCAUUUCCCCCAUUUAGGGCCAUUUUGGGGUCAAUUCCCCCCCAUUUAGGGCCAUUUGGGGCCCAUUUCCCCCCAUUUAGGGCCAUUUUCCCCCAUUUAGGGCCAUUUUGGGCCCAUUUCUCCCCAUUUUGGGGUCAAUUCCUCCCAUUUGGGGUCCAUUUCCCCCCAUUUAGGGCCAUUUUGGGGUCCAUUUUCCCCCAUUUAGGGCCAUUUGGGGCCCAUUUCCCCCCAUUUAGGGCCAUUUUGGGGUCAAUUCACCCCCAUUUCCCCCAUUUUGGGUCCAUUUCCCCCCAUUUAGGGCCAUUUGGGUCCAUUUCCCCCCAUUUAGGGCCAUUUUGGGGCCGUUUUGGGGCCGUUCGGACCCUUUUAUCCCCCCCGCCCCCCCCCCCAACGUCUCCCCACGGGGGGGGGCAGCAGCUGUGGGGCUGAGGCUCCGCCCCCCC